GACGAACGCUGGCGGCGUGCUUAACACAUGCAAGUCGAACGGAGAUUCAGCAAUGGAUCUUAGUGGCGAACGGGUGAGUAACGCGUAGGCAAUCUGCCUUCUAGAUGGGGACAACAUCCCGAAAGGGGUGCUAAUACCGAAUGUUGUAUGAUCUUCGCAUGGAGAUGAUACUAAAGGUGGCCUCUGAAUAUGCUACCGCUAGAAGAUGAGCCUGCGUCUGAUUAGCUAGUUGGAGGGGUAACGGCCCACCAAGGCUUCGAUCAGUAGCCGGUCUGAGAGGAUGACCGGCCACACUGGGACUGAGACACGGCCCAGACUCCUACGGGAGGCAGCAGUGGGGAAUCUUCCGCAAUGGACGAAAAUCUGACGGAGCAACGCCGCGUGAGUGAAGAAGGUUUUCGGAUCGUAAAGCUCUUUCGUUAGGGACGAACGUGCUCUUUGUGAAUAAUGAGGAGUAAUGACGGUACCUAAAUAAGAAGCCACGGCUAACUACGUGCCAGCCGCCGCCGUAA
rnacentral:rRNA from 1 species